GGUCACUGCAAACGGCCCGUGCUCUCUCCUGCAUCUGUGUUAAGCCUCCUUACGUUGCUCCAAGACCCACCCACAUCGAUGUGUUCAUGGGCUUCACUGCUGAGUUAGUCUUCCGCUGGGCUCGUACAUCGCCGCGGUUGGACAUGUGGAUUGUUUUAGAUUCUGGCCCUAGUGAAUAAAACAUCAAUGGGCAUUUGCAUACAAAGCUCAGUAGACAUAUGCUUCCACUUCUCUCAGGUGGAAUUUAUCUGCCACGCGCUGUCAGCUAUCCCGGGGCAUCAUGCUGUGGUGAAGAUGGACAGUGUUGUAGCUGGUGAGCAGUUGAGUCUCCAUCCCCACUGAGAUGGAGGCUGAAAGGGUCUGAAGCUGGGCUUGAGUGGAAAUGCUUGACUCCUGCUGGGCCCAGAGGUCAGGACAGAGCCGGAGAAGUCUGAGAGAAAUCGGCGGAUUGCACCCAGCACCACUGGCGAAGACUUCUUCAACCACAGACCUUGCUACGAGUUGUUUUGACCCCAUGACCCAUUCAGGGAUUUCCAAGCAAUCAGAUGCCUCCCUUUCUCCCAAGG
rnacentral:lncRNA from 1 species